rnacentral:rRNA from 1 species
UACGUAGGGGGCCGAGCGUUGUCCGGAGUUACUGGGCGUAAAGCGCGCGCAGGUGGCUCAUUACGCCCCGGCGUGAAAGCCCCCGGCCCAACCGGGGAGGGUCGUCGGGGACGGGUGAGCUUGAGGGCAUCAGGGGCUGGUGGAAUUCCCGGUGUAGUGGUGAAAUGCGUAGAGAUCGGGAGGAACACCCGUGGCGAAGGCGGCCAGCUGGGGAUGCACCUGACACUGAGGCGCGAAGGCGUGGGGAGCGAACGGGAGUUAGAAACCCGGG